rnacentral:misc_RNA from 1 species
AUGCAAGCUAAUACUGUAAUUGUGGAAAACUAAGAAACCAAAACUGAAAAUGGAAAACAACAAUAAAAAUGAAGAAAACAAGGAUUGAAUGAGAAACCUGGUUAACAUGUGCUGCAACACAAGGAAGAACUGAGAGUCCAGAUUGACACAGUGCACCACUCAGUUGUUCUGCUACAGCUGACUACAAACAAUUGAAAGAGUUCAGGCAUUCUCAUUCUUUGCAAAAACUGACUCUUUGCCACCAAAUAUAGUUGAUAAGUUUUUUAGAUUAAUGAUGUUAAAAUCCAGUAAAGUGAGAUGAAUGAAUCUGAAAAUAAAAGAAGAUAGAUUCAAUAUUUAAGAAUGGACUUAGUAGAGAAAUUUUUGGCAAUGGAAAGCAACUUGAUAGAAAAUAGUUCCUUUCUGUCUGCAAUAAUACAAAGAAUAUGGGUACGACAAAGAAGAGAACUUAGCAAAACCACAAAAUCAGCAAAAGCAUCAGCUUCCCAAGCACAUUGUUGUGUCCGCAAAGUGUAUGGACACUGGUAAAAGGUAAUAAAUUCACUCAAAAAUACUAUCCUUUGCACAGGAAGUCUAUUUGACAUCUGGCAUAAAUAGUAUUGUCAUUGCAGCACUGUGUUUCUCCAUUUUUUGCAUAUAUUUUCAAGUCUCUUUCCAUUAUGGACUUUGCCACUCCAUGAGAUGAGUCCUUAAAUUAAAUGCACCAACUUUGUAACUUCAAGAUUUUAUUUUGCUGGUACAUUCCCAAUGAUUCUCACAUCUUAAGUCACUCUUUACCCUACUGAUAUGACAAGCAUACAACUCAAUUGAAUGGUAAAAGAUAUUUGUCACUCUGAUUGUUUAUUUAGCCUGACAAGUAGACUUCCAUUCUUAUAGUGCAAGGACCUAGACAGUUUUAUUUUCCCUUCUCCAGAGUAUAAUGUCAUUAAAACGUCUCUGAACAAAAACAAACAUUAGUUGGAGAGUGUUUUAGGCUAUGCCAAAGGUUAAUGAAAUCAGAGUGUACAGUAUAAGCAUAAAUGCAGAGAAGCACAUUAUUGUGGAACACGGAACUGAUCAGAAUUGUGAAAUGCCAUCUUCCCAAAGGCUAACCAUGGAAGUUGCAUACACUAUAGAAAAUUUAAUAAAUUUGAUUGAGAAAUUUUGGUGAAAGCAAGGCACAUUAAAAACUACAUAGAACAAAAGUUCACAUGGUAAUAGUGUGACUUACAUUCCCAUCCCAUUAGCUUCAAUGAACACAUGUGGCUUAACCAUUGAAAGCAAAGGUCUAGAUUUACUUACAUCCAUGGGAUCCAGAACAAUGAAGAAAACAAAUAAUUAUCAGAACAAAUUUGAAAAAAAUAAAGAAGUUAAGAGUAUCCUUUAAUUUAGUCUAGCAAGAAAUUCAACCAUAAACAUGCAGUACUAUUUUUUUAACAUAAAUUAAAUUAUAAUACCAAUAUGAGUCCCAAAAGUACAAGCUACCUGCAACACAU